rnacentral:misc_RNA from 1 species
GUUCUCUUUGUGAAGAAUGGUGCAGUUAUUUUGUGCCGCGUCCAGGUCAAUAACUUGAUCUGCAUUGAGAAGUUUUCUGAUGUUCCUCAGCUCGGAAGAUUUACACUUCGUACUGAAGGGAAGACAGUUGCCGUAGGAAAAGUCACUGAUAUUCCAGCUGCAAGCAAUUAAACAAUUUUGAUAUGCGAGGAAAACUUAUGGUAAAUUUGAUAUGAGCUGCCGCAUAAAGGCCUAGCAUGCUCGAAGCUGUUUUUCCAUGGAGUCGAUGCCGUUGUUAGCUAUGCUAAAAGAAACUAAAAUUAUUGAUGGGUUCCAUCUGUUUGGAUACCAACUUUAUACACAAGUGUUUUCUUAUUUAUGAGUGUAAAGUUUAAUUUGCUUCAAUAUCGUUGAAUAUACGUAGCAUUUUCUUAGUUAAUCCAAUCCAGAUGUCCCAACUAUUCUGUUCUUU